rnacentral:piRNA from 1 species
GUGCAGUCCUUGAUGGUUUCCUCACCUUGU